rnacentral:lncRNA from 1 species
UUCCUCUCCAUCGCAGGGUGGAUUUGUUCUGCAAAUGUGCCCGGAGCCGCUGCCGUGUAGGCGCUUCUGCAGCCCCGAGAUGCACACGCCGAAGGGGCGCCGGGUCCAGUGAUGGUACCCGAGCAGACACUCCACGAAGCACUUAACCGUGCGUUUGCUCAUCGGAUCCCCCGAAGAACCCUCGGGGUCACAUACUGUGGUUAGCCCCUUUCGCAGAUCAGGGGACUGAGGUUUAGCUAAAUCAAAUGACGCCCACACCACACGUUAUUGAAUGGAGGACCCAGGACGUGAACCCGCAGUCUGCCUGGCAAGAAAAUGUGUUCUUUUCUGCACACUUUUCCAGGCUUUUGCUCCUGGUCCACACCCAGGCCCGUGACCAAUGCCAGGUUCCAAGUUAGGAGAGAGCAGCAGGUCACAGAGUACAGUCACAGUACCCUCAGCCUUCAGGAGGUCAGCUGUGGAACAGCAAAUGCUGUUGCAGAAAUUACCUCUCCUACUGUUCCUGAGUCUUCAGCUCCAAAUAGGAAUGGAUGGAUGGAUCCAUGUGCUCGAUACUCUGUCUCUGGGACCAGGAGCUCAUACUCGAAGGGGCUACCUUACUUCUCAGCACUGUCAGAUUUCUGUUGACUCAAGAAUCCACCCAGAAAUCUGGGGAAACAUCUCCGGUAGAGUGACACCAGCUGUCCCUCCUCCAGUUUAUGCACCGGCCACAACAUACAGGAAGGAAGUCACAACUUAA